rnacentral:rRNA from 1 species
AUGUCACAGGAUUCUACGCCUUCCUCUCCGGUGACUUCUUCGUCACCACCCCCCGAUCCUACCUUGGCGAUUCCUCCUUCUAUUGUUCCAUCUUUUCCUCAGCAUUACACUCGUCGUUCACGACCUGUGGAUGCCUCAUUGGAUGAGUCGUCCUCUUCCUCUCAGCCUACUUAUGGCUUGCGUUCUCGUCCUCGUCCGCCUGUUGAUCGCUUUGGAUUUCCCACCGCUGGUGCUGCUGUUCUUAAGCCAACUUCUUAUCGUCAGGCUGUUGUUCAUCCUGAAUGGCAGUUUGCGAUGGCAGAGGAGAUUACUGCUCUUGAACGCACUGGUACCUGGGAUCUUUUUUCUCUUCCUCCCGGAGUCCGUCCCAUCACUUGUAAGUGGGUCUACAAGGUUAAGACUCGCUCCGAUGGUUCUCUUGAGCGUCACAAAGCUCGUCUUGUGGCUCGUGGUUUUCAGCAGGAGCAUGGUCGUGAUUAUGACGAGACUUUUGUGCCUGUGGCCCAUAUGACCACUAUUCGUACACUUCUUGCCGUUGCCUCUGCACGCCACUGGUCUAUAUCUCAGCUUGAUGUUAAGAAUGCCUUUCUUAAUGGUGAGCUGCGUGAGGAGGUGUACAUGCAGCCACCACAUGGGUAUUCUGUUCCUGAUGGCAUGGUAUGUUGUCUUCGUCGCUCUCUCUAUGGCCUUAAGUAA